GUGCCAGCAGCCGCGGUAAGACAGAGGACGCAAGCGUUAUCCAGAAUGAUUGGGCGUAAAGCGUCUGUAGGUGUCUUUUCAAGUCUGCCGUCAAAUCCCAGGGCUCAACCCUGCACAUGCGGUGGAAACUACCAAGCUGGAGUACGGUAGGGGCAGAGGGAAUUUCCGAUGGAGCGGUGAAAUGCAUUGAGAUCGGAAAUAACACCAACAGCGAAAGCACUCUGCUAGGCCGACACUGACACUGAGAGAUGAAGGCUAGGGGAGCAAAUGGGAUUAGAUACCCUGGUAGUCC
rnacentral:rRNA from 1 species